GUGUUGAUGAUGACAACUGAUAUUGACAUGAAGAGAGAUGAUGACUUAAAAAUCAUGCUCAAUAGCAUUAUGCUGAGGCCU
rnacentral:snoRNA from 1 species